CAGGGCAGGGCGGAGGGCAGUGGGUGCUGGACAGUCAUGCCCUCUCCACAGAAGGUGCUCUGGGGUCUCUGGCACUCUGCAGGCCUCACCUGCUGGCUCUGGCGGCCCUGGAUGUCUGGCAAUGCCCCUGGGUGGGCGGGUGGAGGGAAGUCCCCGGCCAUAGGUCCAGGGUAAGUGCUGCAGUAAGUGUCCUCCUCCUCCUCGGGUCCAUAAGCUUUGUGCAGGGCCCCAGAGCAGAGGCUUACCCUGGCCAGCUUAGCCUUAGCUGCUCAGGACAGCCUGGAGGCACCCGGGGGGCACACAUGUCCAGGCAGGUGUCAGCUGCCCAGUGGCCACAGCCCGAUGGCUGAGCCAGGCACCUGAGAGGCUGCGGAGGCGCCGGCCCUCUGCUCGGUUCUUAUUCCCAGCCUUCUAUGGAGGCGGAGAAGCCAGGCAUUGGGAAGAGGUGCACAGAGAGUUCUAGACCGGCUGAAGCGCACAGCGGCACUCAGGCUGCGGCGGCUGGGCUUCGAAAUGGGGAUCAGUUCUGAAAGAAGACUCCUGUCCCUCCCCUGGGCUCUGUGAGGAGGAGCCCAGCCCUCGUGGCCCUGGGCCAGCACCCGCUGGGCCUUACCGGCCGACCCUGUCUCCACAAUAACCAGGACACGUCCUUCCCCCGGGACCUGCUGUGUACCCCCGCCUCCGCCUCAUCUCAGGCCCCCGAAGCGCAGAAGUGGCCUGAGACCCCUCUUGAGGUGCUUCCAAGGUGUCCGGUGGACGAGGGGCGGCAGGCCCUGCCCCUGAUGCAUGAUGGAGACCAACCGCUGUUGACCCGCAGUCCGAGGGAAGGUAAUCGCUGCUGGAGGAGAAGCCUGCUCCCCGAGGGCCCACGCCCUGAGCUGUCCUGCCUGGGCCCAGAGCAGACCUGUGAGGACCACGUGAGAUGUCAUGGCCAGCACACCGCCGGCCGCUCCCGUCUGGAGGAGCAGGACGUCACCCUGGCCCCAGGCUCCGUCCUGAACACUGCAGUGUGUAGCACAAAAGUAGGAACACUAGGGACCACUCGAGGGCCACCCUGGAGAGCACCAAGUACCCGUGAAGGCGCUGUCCCCCAACAGGGCCACCUCACAGGUGCUGGGGCCGGACACCGGGUCUCACCACACUUCCCCCAGCCUGGCCAACACCCAAGGCCUGGACUCGCCUGCCUUCGUGUCUGCCCUCUCGUGGGCUUAGCGCGUGCUACUGACUUCAGUGUCUCCCAAAGAAAAUCCCCGGAAUCAACUCUCUGCACGUAUCCAGGAAAAGCCAGCUCACAGCGCCACCUUGUGGCCGGUGGGUCAAGAUGCAGAGCAGGUGGGAUCGGCCUCCUUCCAGGACUCUGCCGCCCAGCGGCCGCAGGCAGGAGCCCUCCUGCCCAGAUCCCGAGCGGGCUCCCUCCCACCAGCUUGCAAGAUCUGGGGUUCACUUCCCACACCAGCUGCAAGAAGGCUCUGCUGAUGUCCCUGUCCUCAGCAUCGGGGUCUAAAGCUGCCCUGGCUGGUGGUGUGGGCCAGGACCAGAGGGGGAGCAGUCCCCACAGCCAGGCAGGGCCUGAGCCUGACCCCAGCCACCGAGGCGAGGCCUCAGGAAGAGUGAGACCCCUGCCCUGGGCAGGGUGGGGCGGGGCCUGCACUCCCGGCUUCCAUCUCACCCUUUCCUGUUCUCAGUUCCUCCGUUUGUCCAAAGGCAGAUUGUACCAUAAAUCCGAUUUUAUCAGAAAUCACCUUCCAGCCUGCAGCAGGAGCUCUGUGGUGAGCGGCAGGGGCUCUAGUCAGUGUGGGCUCCUCCAAGCUCAGCUCACAGCUCCCUGUGUCCUGAAGGGCCCCUCCUGGCCUUUCCCCGGCCCACAGGGUCUUGGCCUCCACAGCUCUCAGCCUCAGGCUCCAGCCUCUCAUCUUGAGCAGGCCUGGGGGCAGUCAGAGCGCAGGGUGGGCGGGCUGCCGAGGCCUGCUGGCCCUCGCAGAUUCCACCUGAGCCUGGUGUCUGCAGGCCACGUGAGCUGCACCAGCAGCAGCAGCGGGAGCUUCAGGUGUGCACAGCAAGCUCCCCUGGGGUUUCCUCCUGCUUGGCAGAAGGGAAGAGUUCCUUCUCCCGGAGCCUGGCGGGAGCACAGGCCCCACUGCCCGUGGCCUCCCACUCCCCAUGUGGCCUAGGCUGGACACAGCUGAAGACCAAGGCUUGACACAGACUGAAAGUACAGAUCUGACCACAUCCAGGACCUCAUCACCCUGGAAACACCCAACAGAGCAAAGCCCCUGAGAGCUGUGAGCGCAGGGGUCAUCUGAGGCCCGAGGCCGUGUGCAGAGGCUCCAGAGAGAGGAGGCCCGUGCUGAGCCUGGGAAUAAGACACUGAAAAGAAGGCAUGACAGUGGCACUCGCCUGUGGGCUAGCCGCGGUGGUCAUGGUGGCCAGCCUCUAGACAGGCCAGGAGACGCUGCUGGUGCAAGUGUGGGUGGCCUGGUCUCCCGAAGGGGACUUGUUGGUGUGUACCAAAGCCAUGUGUGUAAGCCCUGGGCCCCGCGAGUCCCUAACCUGUGAGCACCCUGUCACAAUCGCUGGUCAGGGCCGUGGCCUGUGAGGCCCCAGGGCUUGGGGAGGCUGAGGUCUAUGAAGCAAUCGAUGGGACAGAGAAGAACGUGGGUGGAGACCACGUGCUACCAGGGUCUUGCAGAGCAAGGCCCCACCCACACAGAGGGCACAGGCCAGAACACCCGGGCAGAGUCCCCAGAUGGUCACCUUGGCAGCACGGCUCAUGUCAGAGAAGAUACAACACGGGGCUGAGCAUCUGCUCUUCCCACCUCACAAAAGUGGUCCCAUACGUCUGCCAGGUCCCAGACCUGCCAAGGCCACCAUCCUCCCUGCCCCAGCUGUGAGCACCGGAGGGGCAACACGAGAGCUGGGUGUCACACUCACAUCUGUGACACCUGCAGACUCUGCAGGAAGAGGAGGCUCAGUGCCUGUGGGGACUGUUUCCUUUAAUGAUGCUUUGAACGUUUGAUGGGGUGUAGUGUCCAUGGUGCCUGUUUAGUUUUUUAAAAAUAUAAUGAAAUAAACGUUUCAAGCGGGCACUAAUGUCAUCGCC
ensembl:lincRNA